rnacentral:rRNA from 1 species
AGCCUGAUGCAGCCAUGCCGCGUGUGUGAAGAAGGCCUUCGGGUUGUAAAGCACUUUCAGUCAGGAGGAAAGGUUAGUAGUUAAUACCUGCUAGCUGUGACGUUACUGACAGAAGAAGCACCGGCUAACUCCGUGCCAGCAGCCGCGGUAAUACGGAGGGUGCGAGCGUUAAUCGGAAUUACUGGGCGUAAAGCGUACGCAGGCGGUUUGUUAAGCGAGAUGUGAAAGCCCCGGGCUUAACCUGGGAACUGCAUUUCGAACUGGCAAACUAGAGUGUGAUAGAGGGUGGUAGAAUUUCAGGUGUAGCGGUG